UUAGACCCCUAAGACCCUUACAUCAACAACGGCGCUCUCUAUCUUCAGCGAAAACCAGAGAAGGCCGACCCCCCUCCCACCAUACACUCUACUCCUCUCGUUCACUCACCCUCCUAGAUUCAAGCCUAUUCACACUCACCUUACAAUCUGAACCUCAUUCUCAUGCCUUCCCUGAGUUGAAGUAAAAAUCCCGAAAUUUAAGAAACUAGAAAGACAGAGAUCUAACACACACAAAAAGCUUCGAACAAGAGGAAUGAAAGGGAUCUAGAUAGCCGCCUCAAUUUUUGCUUGUUUUGCACUACAUUUUCUGAAACUUCUAAGGCGUAACCGGGCUAGAACUAUCUUAUUCCUACUACUCCAAUUUUCUCAGUUUUUGUUUUCGAAGCUGGUUCGAUUUGGGAUUCUGCUACUGCUCUGCCUGGAAAUCUUUUGCUGAACACCAUCAUUUGGAUUCAAGAUCUUUAUUUGGUCAAAUCAAUUGUUCUUUUCGCUAUCGGAAAUAAUCUGCUCUCAUGCAACCAAGUGAAGCAAUAUCUGCUGAGCCUGUGCAUCACUUCGCGCGCCUCCUUUCAAACUGCAUCCGAACUAAUGAUCUCAAGCUUGGGAGACUCAUACACUCCCGUCUGAUCAAGACGGCAUUAACCUUUAACACAUUCCUCGCCAACCGUCUGAUAUACAUGUACUCUAAAUGCUGUUCCAUAGAGUAUGCGCAACAGGCCUUUAAUGAACUGUCAGACAAGAACGCCCAAUCUUGGAACACAAUGCUGUCAGCUUACUCUCAAAAGGGUCUUUUUGAGAAAACCUUCCAGCUGCUCGAUGUAAUGCCUGAUCCAAAUGCUGUGAGCUAUAACUCAAUCAUUUCAAGCUUAACUCAUCACGGGUUCCCUAGAAAAGCUAUGGGUUUUUUCAAAAGAAUGCAAACUCAACGUGGGAAUGGGUUUUUGAUUGACGAGUUCACGGUUGUUAGCGUGGUAAAUACUUGUGCAGGUUUGGGUGCAUUGAACUUGUUGCGUGAAUUGCAUGGGUUAGCAACUGUGAUUGGUGUGAUGUUUAAUCUUGUGGUUUGCAAUGCACUUAUUGAUGCUUAUGGGAAAUGUGUCAAACCCGGGUACUCUUAUUCUAUUUUCUGUCAAAUGCGCGAGACUGAUGUAUUCUCGUGGACUUCGCUGUUGGUUGCUUAUAUACGUGCGUCUAGAAUGGCAGAUGCGUGCUCACUUUUUGAUCAUAUGCCGAUCAGAAAUGUGGUGGCUUGGACUGCUCUGAUCACAGGGUUUGCGCAAAAUGGAGAAGGAGAUAAGGCUUUGUGUACUUUCAAGGAAAUGCUGGAAGAAGGUAUUGUACCGCGUGCAUCCACUUACGUUGGUGUCCUAAGUUCUUGUGCAGACAUACCUCUUAUUGAAAAAGGUAAGCAAGUUCAUGGACACAUUUUUAGAUGUACAUGUUUAAUUGAUUUGCAUAAUAUUUUUGUAGUUAAUGCUUUGGUUGACAUGUAUUCUAAAUGUGGAGACAUGAUAUCUGCUAUGAGAUUGUUUGAGAGGUUAGAUGGGAAGGAUCGAGUUACUUGGAACUCGAUAAUAAAUGGAUUUGCUCAAAAUGGGAAUGGAGUGAUGUCUUUGUUCAUGUUUGAGAAAAUGAUUGAAACAGAUACAACACCAAACCAUGUAACUUUUCUUGGGGUUUUAUCUGCCUGUAGCCACUGUGGUUUAUUACCUGAAGGAUUUCAAUAUCUCCAUUCAAUGGAGAGGAAAUACGGUAUAGUACCCCAGUUGGAUCACUAUGCCAUCUUGAUUGAUUUACUUGGACGGAAGAAUAUGCUUGGAGAAGCUGCGGAUUUGAUCAAGAGAGCUCCUUGGGGAAGAGACAAUAUUGGAAUGUGGGGCGCACUUUUGGGUGCUUGCAGGGUACAUGGGAACUUGAAACUUGCUAGAAGGGUGGCAGAAGAUCUAUUUGAGCUGGAACCUGAUAAUGCUGCCAGGUAUAUUAUGUUAUCCAACAUCUAUGCAGCAGCAGGAAGGUGGGGUGAUGCCCGCACUCUGCGAAGGUACAUCUAUGACAGAGGAUUGGUGAAAGAAACAGCUUAUAGUUGGAUUGAGAUAAACAAUAUCAGACAUAAAUUUAUCGCUAAAGACAAGUCCCACAGUCGGUUAGAAGAAAUAAAAGAGUUGCUGCUUAAACUCGUAGAUCCAAUGAAGGAUGCUGGAUACAUAUUUCAAAUUGAAUGCUCAUACUUUCUUGUAGAUGAUGCAUUUUGUUGACAUAAUUGAAACAGGUAGUAACCAUGUAUAACAGUUUCUAAUUUAACAAUUAAUAUGAGCUCUGGUGGUUGGUUACCUGCUUUGCUGAAAAUUUGGGAAAGGAAAAGUGAGGGAGAAAUUUUAUUUUUCAAGAUAUUACUCCAUCACUUACACUAAAGAUAAGAAACAUGAUCAUAAAAUGUGAGGCACUGUAAUUCAAUCCUUGCUGCUUGAAGCUUCAGAGAUAUUAAUGUUACGAGCAGCAGAUAGAUCCAUCAUUAACGUGCCUGUACUCACCUCUUUGGUGCACAGGUAAUGUUUCUGUGCCUUGAUUUAGUGCUUUUCAUUUUGGUAAGAAAAAUCUGAAUGUUCUUUCACAUGGACCUGUUAACUAUCACAACCUAUCAUAUUUUAUGAACAACUGGCUUCAUGUUGUUCGUUCGAAGAUCCCAUUCCCACCAUCCAAAUGUUUCUUAAGGGAAAAAUGGUAUCGAUGCCAUUCCUACACUUCUCCUCAAUCAUGAGCUAUUUAAAAUUCUUAAUGUUGUUAAGUGCCUCAACAUAUCUAUAUUAUUAGAACUAUAUUCUUUUUGACAGCUAAUUUUCUCUCAGUCAUUGCUAUUGAUGGCAGGUUACUGAAUAGGCAUUCCUUGAGUUAAGUGCAAAACCAGUCUGCUCGAAGUUCACUGCAGCAAUAUUAAGAAACUGGGAUAGCCUAACAGGGAAAAUAUAAAUCAUGGGCUAGAAUAUUCAGAAGAAAAUAUUGGCUGCUAGGUUCUCCAUAAAGUGAGGAAAAAAGGUUUUUAGGGAUUUGAUAUGAGGAUCUUUUAAGGCAUAGGACCAUUUGCUGAAGGAGUGAGUAGCAUGUAUGAGGCCUUAAAGUUGUGAUUGGAGCUAAAUUGAAGCAAGAAAAGCCCCUAGGAGCCGAGUAUGUGGGAAGGCGAGAAAAAGAAGAGAUGAAAUGAAGACCUGGACUAGCGCGGCCACUAGCGCGUCUAUUAGCGCGACCGCGCUAGCCCAGUUCCGGAAGAGUAAAUUGCAGGGUUAAAAUUGGAAGUUCGGGGGCAAAUUCACUUAACCGAUAGAAGGUCUAGCUCGCCCAAGAGAGGAUUAUCAAGGUUUUCAUAGCUUAGUUCAAGGCAAGGAGAGGCAAGAGGCAAGGAGGAUAAUUCAACAUCGAGUUCUUCCUUUCCUUUUGUUUUUACGAUUUGUGAUGAAUUUGAAUGUUGUUAUGAUGAAUCCUAGUAUGAGUAGCUAAAUAUUUAGUCUAAGGUUUUGAUGGAAUCUAUUGAAGGAUGAACUUCUUGUUAUGUUAAUAUAGUUGCCUGGUUUAAUCUCUA